CAGGCUGCCCUAGCACUAAUGGAUCAAAGUGUUGCAAUUGAGGGGAAAGAGGAUAUACGGAAUGGCCUUGAGAUGGUGAAAUCUGCCUCUGAUAAGCAUAUCGAUCUUCUCAGGCCAUCUGCUCGAUACUAUUCAGUGUCUAGAGCUGAAGGCACUGUCGUAAUGGUAGGGCAAGCUUCAGAUGGUGCAGACCGUGAAAAGGGAAAGUAUAUCCUUCUAAGGGAUCCCGAGGACAUCCAAGUUGGGAUUUAUGACAAACCCCUCCCAUGCUUUGGCUGCGGUGUAGGAUGGUUUUCUUUUCUUUUAGGAUUUGUGUUCCCAUUGAUGUGGUACUAUGCCACAAUACUUUACUUUGGUAAUUAUUACCGAAAAGAUCCUAGGGAGCGAGCAGGCCUUGCUGCAGCUGCCAUUGCUGCAAUGGCGUGUUCUGUUGUGUUGUUGGUCAUAGUAGUUUGCUAUAUUCUCUUAUAGCCCAGCACUUCCUUGCGAGUGUGCUCUUAACAUGUAAAUGUCGAAACCAGACACUCAGUUGAAGAAAGUGCCAAUGCAAAUGUAGAUAUAAGAAAGUUCUGGUGGAAGAGCACAAAGAAUAUGCUAUUACAAGCUCAUUCUUCAACAAUUGCAGAUACCUACACUUCAGAAACGUAUACAAAAACUUGAAAUUUCUUUCAUUAUGUUAUGAUGUACCUAUGGUUUUGUGUGGUUAGGGACCAUUGUCAACUAGCAUAAUAUUUACACAAGUGUUUACGAAUUUACUGUAGAUGUUUGAGGCUUU
rnacentral:misc_RNA from 1 species